AACGUAGGGGACAAGCGUUAUCCGGAUUUACUGGGCGUAAAGCGCCCGUAGGCGGCUUUGCAAGUUGGACGUGAAAGCUCCCGGCUUAACUGGGAGAGGUCGUUCAAAACUGUGGAGCUAGAGGAUGGAAGAGGAGAGCGGAAUUCCCGGUGUAGUGGUGGAAUGCGUAGAGAUCGGGAGGAACACCAGUGGCGAAAGCGGCUCUCUGGUCCGUACCUGACGCUGAGGGGCGAAAGCGUGGGGAGCGAACGGG
rnacentral:rRNA from 1 species